CUAAACAGAAAAUUUAUGCGUCAAAUGAGAAAUUAUUUAGCAACUGGGCUAUAUAAAAAAAGUAUAUGUUCCAACGAAUCCUACAAAACUGUUAAUCCCGAUGUGGAAACAUGCAAUUUAAUUCAGUAGAUAAGAUGGACCACCCCCUCUGCCUGUAUUGUUGUGACAUAUGAGAAAGAUGUGGGACUACAGGACCCGAUUACGUUAAAUGCCAAUUGGUGAGAACAAGAAACAACGUGAAAAAUAAUAGAUACCCAGAAUGUGAUGUCAAUGUGAAAUGGAAUUAGAAUCAAAAGAUGCCAGAGCAAGGACGUCGUACCAAAAUUCUCUCGCCAGAAAGAUGGCUGUUUCCGGAUCCUAAAAGCUGGGAGUCCCUGGCUCUUGAGCACUCAUCUGGGUUUUAACCAAUACUUCCUCAGUUGUUAUGCACCGACACAGCAGCCACAAGCACCAAGCUACAGGUCCUAAGGAGGUCAAUGGCAGCCCAGAUCUGGAUAUUAUGUAUACAUACACAAAAGGACGCUACACCACGAAGCAAGUCCAUUACAAGGA